GACGAACGCUGGCGGCGUGCCUAAUACAUGCAAGUCGAACGCACUCUCGUUUAGAUUGAAGGAGCUUGCUCCUGAUUGAUAAGCAUUUGAGUGAGUGGCGGACGGGUGAGUAACACGUGGGUAACCUGCCCUAAAGUGGGGGAUAACAUUUGGAAACAGAUGCUAAUACCGCAUAAAACCUAACACCGCAUGGUGUAGGGUUGAAAGAUGGUUUCGGCUAUCACUUUAGGAUGGACCCGCGGUGCAUUAGUUAGUUGGUGAGGUAAAGGCUCACCAAGACCGUGAUGCAUAGCCGACCUGAGAGGGUAAUCGGCCACACUGGGACUGAGACACGGCCCAGACUCCUACGGGAGGCAGCAGUAGGGAAUCUUCCACAAUGGACGAAAGUACUGAUGGAGCAACGCGCGUGAGUGAAGAAGGUUUCGGAUCGUAAAACUCUGUUGUUGGUAGAAGAAUGUAAUCUGAUAGUAACUGAUCAGGUAGUGACGGUA
rnacentral:rRNA from 1 species